GACGAACGCUGGCGGCGUGCUUAACACAUGCAAGUCGAACGGUGAAGCUCCAGCUUGCUGGAGUGGAUCAGUGGCGAACGGGUGAGUAACACGUGAGCAACCUGCCCCUGACUCUGGAAUAAGCGCUGGAAACGGUGUCUAAUACUGGAUACGAGAAGGGUCCGCAUGGGCACUUUCUGGAAAGUUUUUCGGUUGGGGAUGGGCUCGCGGCCUAUCAGCUUGUUGGUGAGGUAAUGGCUCACCAAGGCGACGACGGGUAGCCGGCCUGAGAGGGCGACCGGCCACACUGGGACUGAGACACGGCCCAGACUCCUACGGGAGGCAGCAGUGGGGAAUAUUGCACAAUGGGCGAAAGCCUGAUGCAGCGACGCCGCGUGAGGGAUGACGGCCUUCGGGUUGUAAACCUCUUUCAGCAGGGAAGAAGCGAAAGUGACGGUACCUGCAGAAGAAGCACCGGCUAACUACGUG
rnacentral:rRNA from 1 species